CUAACAUGGAUUGCCAACGUACCUCUUGGGAAAUUCAUUAGAUUACGCUGCAAUUGCUCUCUUCUGGCUAAUUUUGAGAGGGAAUCCCUCUCGUUUUGUCAACGAUUUAUGGAGAAGGCUUAUUCAUCACAGUCUAUCCUCAAAGCUUAUUCGAAAGCCAGCACGAUGCAAAGAGAGGACCUUAUCAUUCCGACUUUAACUAAAUCCGGGUUUGAUACUUUAGAACCCCCUUUCCAUACCAGCUAUCAUGGCACUAUUUUAAAUCUAUUAGGGAAAUAUAGAGCACCCUAUAGGAAAAGAGCAAAGUAUAACAUCAGCACUAAGGAGGUGAGCUCAGUCCAAUUUCCCAUUUUCU